GUGCUUGCUUCAGCAGCACAUGUACUAAAAUUGGAGCCAUACAGAGAUGAUUAGCAUGGUCCCUCUGCAGGGAUGACACGUACAUUUGUGAAGCAUUCCCUAUUAAA
rnacentral:snRNA from 1 species